AGUCGUAACAAGGUAUCCGUAGGUGAACCUGCGGAUGGAUCAUUAUAGGUUAUUUUGAAUGUUGUGUGAACAGUGUGGUUGUAGUUGUGGUGGGUAUGUGAUAUAUUAUAUGGUAUAUUAUAUGAUGUAUAUGAUAUAUGGUAUUAUAUAUAUUAUAUGAUAUGUGAUAUGAUAUCAUCCACCUUGACAACAUUGACGUACAUUAGUGCUGAAUAUCAUUAUAUUGAAACAUAAACAACUUUCAGCAAUGGAUCUCUUGGCUCUC
rnacentral:misc_RNA from 1 species